AUGAAUUAUAAGAGAAUGACAGAAGGAUACAAAGUCAGCACAAACUGCAAAUCAAGGCAUCUCUCUUCUGAAGAUUUAUCUGAAAUAAAUGGACUGCGCUGGUUAAGCAGGGCAGCCAAAUAUGGAGGGGACAAGAACCUGCUCAACAGAAGCUUUGCUCUUGGAAAUUUCCACACAGAUCAAAUUCAGUGUGUCCAGGAAUUGCAAAGUGAUCACAGUACUGAAACUCUGCAGAAGAAGACAUUUCUGACAAUUUUCUUUCUUGUUCUCUGAGGAAAACAAACAUGCUACAUCUAAGGUUUUCAAAAGAUGAUGCUUAGCUUAACUGAACUUUAUGGUGGCUAUAUUUCCUUCUUUACUGCUGAUGGUGACAAAAGUGGUAGGACACUGUCUGUCAUGGUGACUUUUGACACUGCAGUGGUUUGGCUCACACUAGAGGAGUUCUUUUUUUGACUGUAUUUGACUGUAUUGUGUUCAUAUAAAUGUACAUGACAGUUUGAUGACAGCAUGCAUCCAAGGAUUAUGAUUCCAAUUUUCAUGAUAGUAUGUGCUGUCAUGCACAGGCAAAUAUAUACUUGGCAGAGGCAAGACAGGUUGGCGCUUGUUGUGUAUUCAUACGUAUCUAUUGAAUGUAGAUCCAUGGGGGAAAAUGGUACUUCAGGUAACAUCUUGGAUUAAAUAAUAGGAAAAAUUAAACAUUUAGAACAUAAUCAUAUCCCUACGCCAUAACAAGUGUCUGUCAAAAUCAGCCAAAUGGGAAGGAACAAUACAAUCUGUGCAGAAAGGAAAGCUGAUCUGGUCAUCCAUAUACUCAUAUACCAGCAAUCCUGAGUAAGUACUGUUGAUUAUAUGAAGGUUUGCCUUGCUAAAUGUGGAAAGGUGUAACAUGAAACAAGGCAAGUAAGAGUACACUGAAAUGUAUGGUAUUAGGAUCCAUAAAUAUUUUAGUUUUCAUUUUCCCUACUGCCACAGAAAUAAUGACUUACGGAUGGAAAAAUUAGUUUGCUUCUCAGAUAAUUUUUUUUUUUUUGCUUCAGCACACUUUCACUCUUUGCAUUUAAGUGACUGACUGGAGUCCCCAGAAAUUACAGAAAGUGCUUCAUUUCUCUGCUGUGGAUAUGCUUCAUUGAAACUGAGAGGUGAUGUCAGCAGAUUAAUAAGGCAAACUAAGUAGCAGUAAGCAAGCAAGUCAUGGUUUCAGCAUGAAUAUAAAUAUAUUCCAGCCUUGGAAGACCUUGUGUUAGGCCCAUUGGUUUCAAUGAAACUACUCAGAUGAACAACUCCUCACAUACUGAACAUUAUUAUAAUGACAGGCUGUAUCAUGCUACAUUCAGAGCAUGGUGAAAGAAUGAAGUGGUGAAAUUCAGCUGGUCUAUAUAGCUUUUUCAUUAAGUCCUUUAGCUCAGAAAGCACUCUUCAUUAGCAAACUGGUGUCCUUUGUUUUUCUGUAGAUCACAGAAACAUUUGCAAGAGAUGAUGAACACAUAAUGAUAACAUUAACGCAUGAGUAAUGUAAAAUUUGGCAACCAGAACUUUGCAAAUUAAACAUAACUCUUUCAAAUGCAACUAUUUUUGAUGAAUGUCAGUAUAAAAUUUUAGCUCAUGUGACAAAAUCACUCCUAUAUAUGAAUUUUAGCUAAUAUGUGAACUUUACCUUAUAAAGUGAAUUAAAUCCUGCUUUUAUGAACAGAAUACGUCUGAUGAAUGCUAUUAUAAAGUGAGUUGCUAUAUGACAUGCAUAGCCUGAUUUAUAUCCACCUAGAUUCAUGCUAUCUUUGUGAUCCUCCUAAUUUCUUGAUCUUCAUCAAACCAGAGAAAGAGCAGAUUAGAAGAUUUUCACUUUUAUGUUAAGCAUGGAUGCUUGGUGACCUCUCAUCCUUGUCCUUUCAAAACCAUCUCAUUAUAAAACCCACUGUGAAGUCUGAAAAGGAAAAGAAAUUUUGACAGCUCGUGCUUGGGAGUGGCACAGGGCUUGGAUGGCAGGCACCCUGCUGCUCAGGACCAAGUGGUGCUGUCAGUGUAGUGUGGGAAAGCAGGGAUGGCAGUAACCCAUGCGAUAUGAUACCUGGCUCCUUUUCAGUCAGCACUGUUCAUCUCUCAUAUUCAUGAAUGCUGUAAUUCUGCCGUUUGCCACUUAAAAGUCAGCUUUUGCCAAGAGCUGUCACCGAGCUGUGUCUGAAGCACCAGAGCUUUGCAGAAAACAGCUGCAGUAACUGUGUAGUACCUGUUGACAAAUGCUGGCUUUUAAAUGGUACCCACUGUAAGGAAGCCUGCAAAACUUGCUCUAACUAUACCAGUGGGAAACAAACCGUUCAUUUUGUCACAUACCUUUCCGUUCAGCAUUCCCCUGGUGUGUGAAAUGUCUGUAACCUGAGAGAACUAUAGCAGCUUCUUUGGACGUGCAGCUUGUGAAACGUCCCUGUUCCUGAAUAAAACAUCAUAAUUCAGAGGAUAUUCCCUAUUU
rnacentral:lncRNA from 14 species